GAUGAACGCUGGCGGCGUGCCUAAUACAUGCCAGUCGAGCGAACAGACGAGGAGCUUGCUCCUCUGACGUUAGCGGCGGACGGGUGAGUAACACGUGGAUAACCUACCUAUAAGACUGGGAUAACUUCGGGAAACCGGAGCUAAUACCGGAUAAUAUAUUGAACCGCAUGGUUCAAUAGUUAAAGACGGUUUUGCUGUCACUUAUAGAUUGAUCCGCGCCGCAUUAGCUAGUUGGUAAGGUAACGGCUUACCAAGGCAACGAUGCGUAGCCGACCUGAGAGGGUGAUCGACCACACUGGAAGUGAGACACGGUCCAGACUCCUACGGGAGGCAGCAGUAGGGAAUCUUCCGCAAUGGGCGAAAGCUUGACGGAGCAACGCCGCGUGAGUGAUGAAGGUCCUCGGAUCGUAAAACUCUGUUAUUAGGGAAGAACAAAUGUGUAAGUAACUAUGCACGUCUUGACGGUACCUAAUCAGAAAGCCACGGCUAACUACGUG
rnacentral:rRNA from 1 species